rnacentral:misc_RNA from 1 species
GAUGAAGAACGUAGCGAAAUGCGAUACGUAGUGUGAAUUGCAGAAUUCAGUGAAUCAUCGAAUCUUUGAACGCACAUUGCACCUCUCGGUAUUCCGGGAGGUAUGCCUGUUCGAGCGUCAUUUGUACCCCCAAGCUCUGCUUGGUGUUGGGUGUUUGUUCCGCCUCUGUGUGUGAACUCGCCUCAAAACAAUUGGCAGCCGGCGUACUUGUUUCGGAGCGCAGCACAUUUUGCGAUCCAGAUCAACGUACAGCGGCAUCCAAGAAGCCUUAUUUAACGCUCUUGACCUCGGAUCAGGUAGGGAUACCCGCUGAACUUAAGCAUAUCAAUAAGCGGGAGGA